GUCUCUGUAGCUCGGUUGGUUAGAGCGCUGCACCGGGCCGUAGGUUCAAUUCCUACCAGAGGACC